UACGUAGGGGGCAAGCGUUGUCCGGAUUUAUUGGGCGUAAAGAGCGUGUAGGCGGCUUUACAGGUCCGUUGUGAAAACUCGAGGCUCAACCUCGAGACGCCGGUGGAAACCGUAAAGCUAGAGUCCGGAAGAGGAGAGUGGAAUUCCUGGUGUAGCGGUGAAAUGCGCAGAUAUCAGGAGGAACACCCGUGGCGAAAGCGGCUCUCUGGGACGGUACUGACGCUGAGAC
rnacentral:rRNA from 1 species